rnacentral:lncRNA from 1 species
AACUGCAUCUCUGAUGGCUAGAUGGAUAUUGACAUUUGUAGAAGUUGACAAGUUUUGGCUUGAGUGGCUUUUGAAAAAUCAUGGGUAAGGAGCUUGUUUAAUUGUUAGAUUUUGUCAAUCUUUCACAUGGCCUUAUGCCUAAGUGGGUUGUGCUGUAUGAGCUUAACACGGGCAUAUAUUGAAAACAAAUUGUUUUUGGAUAUUGUUAUGGGUUCUCAUAGAUCUGUUUCUUUGUUAAUCUGUGCUGAUGGAAAUAAAGCAUUUAGAAUAUCUGAUUGCAUUAUUCAGUCAAUGCUCUGAACCCACUUCCAUGUUUUUGUGUGUGUGAACAAAUGUGACUCUGAUGUACCAACAAAAUAAAUGCAGUUAUAAGAUGGUUCUCAGAUAUAAACUUAGUGAAUUUUGCCACAUUGUUAGUCACUUUUUUUUUUCUCCUUGUUGCAAAUGCUUCCCACUUUUGUUAUUUUGUUCCAGAAUAUUUAAUCCAUAGUUCUAUUCAUAACUAAGAUUGGUUUUGCUCAAAUUUUUUGGUAUGCCUUUUGAUCAUUGGAAAUGUUGGAACUUGAAGAGUUUGAUUUACGGGAGCUUUGAUUGGAAAAUCCAAUUAUUGAUCUCUUAGGAGGUGAAUUAACCUCUUCUAAAAGCCUGAAAGUGUUGCUAGAUGGCAACAUUGCUGAUGUUACCAAGUUGAUUUCCAUUUCCUUCUUUUUCCUGUUGCCCAGAUCUCUCAGCAUGUCUGGUGUUUGUGUUCCCUUUACCUUCUUGUUGGUUAAUGAGAAACUUAGCUUCUUAGAUCUAAUUGUCAACUUAGUCUUUUGUUAUCCUGGUAAUUUGAUUAAUUUAUAAGCCCAAAAGUGUUGCUAGACGGCAACUUUGCCGAGGUUACCAAGUUCUUCCGGUAUCCUUUUUUUCCCUGUUGCCCAAAUCUCAUGGCAUUGCUGGUUGUUGUAUUCCAUUUACCUUCUUGAUGGUUAAUGGUAAACUCAGCUGCCGACAUUUAACCUUCAACUCUUAGUCUUCUCUUAUCCUGGUUUAUAAGCCCAAAAGUGUUACUAAAUGGCAACUUUGCCGAGGUUACCAAGUUCUUUGGGUAUCCUUUUUUUCCCUGUUGCCUAAAUUUAUCGGCAUUGCUGGUGUUUGUGUUCCAUUUACCUUCUUGAUGGUUGAUGGUUAAACUCACCUGCCAACAUUUAACCAUCAACUUAAAGUCCUUUCUUAUCCUGGUUUAUAAGCCCAGAAGUGUUGCUAGAUGGCAACUUUGCCGAGGUUCUCAAGUUCUUUGGGUAUCCUUUUUUUCCCUGUUGCCCAAAUCUCUUGGCAUUGCUGGUGUUUGUGUUCCAUUUACCUUCUUGAUGGUUAAUGGCAAACUGGCCUGCCUACAUUUAGUUAUCUGCUUUAUCUUUUCUUGUCUGUUAAUUUACAUCAAGUUGCUAUUGUCUCAUAUAGUUCACGCAGUUCACAUUUAAUUGACAAAUAUAUGAUUAGUCUCUCAUAUUUUAAGACUGCCUAUUUGCAAAUUUCAAGCCUUAAAUGUUGCAUAUGAGUAUCCCUUUUGUUUGUCUGUGCUUCUCUCUUUCUCUGUUCCUCUGUCUUGAGUGGUUUUCCAUCCUCUUUAACCUGCUGUUGCUUGUUAAUGGUGAUCUGUGUGUUCGAUUGUGGAUAUCCUUAGCUUUCGGUUUAUUAGCACUCAUAUAACAUGUCAAAGUAUAUUGGCAAUUGUUCCAAUGGUUUCCACAUCUGUGACAUAUAACAUGUCUUCUUGUUCUUUUCUGUUUCAUUGUGUCUUUGAUUACAUUGCGUGCUCUAUGUUUAGAAAACACAGAUUCUUCUCGCAAUGCCUUGAAAACAAACAAUUAUGAGAGUCGAAUUGAUGACAUCAACGGCGGAACCCGCCGAGGCAGUGCUCUGUUGAUGCCGAGAGACGGGAUCUUGGCCCGAAAGAAAGAAAAGGUGAACAGAGUUGAUCGAUGAUAUGACUGAUGAUGAGGCUUGAGGAGGGGGAUGACUUGGAUGAUCUUGGCUUUGUUCUUGCUGGAAGUGGUCCAGAGCUCAAUUAGCAAUUGAUUUCAUCGCUGUCAUAGAAAUAAGCUUGGGAUGUUUUCUCUCUUUUCGUUUUACAUUUAAUCUGUUCUCUGAGCUCGACUCUUUUGUGCACCCUGGAAAUAAACACAGAUUAACUUGAAUUAGCAUUCUAAAGGUUUUAGUAUACUGGGCCUGUUGGACGUCUACUGUUUCGAACAUGUUGUCAGAGAGUC